CAGCCUCCCUAAAAAAAUCCCAGCCACCCCGAAUCAGUCUCAGCCCACUCCCGUGUGUGCUGGAUAGGGUUCCCCGCCACCCUCACCGGUCGCCGCCGCCGCCCUCACCGGUCGCUGCCGCCGUCGGUUUCCCCUACAUGGCCGGAGGAUAGGCCAUCCCGCCGGUCCAUUCCCGCCCCACCGUGAGGGAGGAGACCGACCAGUUGUGCCUCCCCGCCGGUCGCCGCCCGCCACCCCACGCUAUGAUGUACCCCGCCGCCAGGAGGCCAGGAGGCCGCCAUGGAUGACCGUCCCGAGCUCGCCUCGCUGCUCCUCCGGUGACCCUCGUUGCGCCUGGAUCCGGGCGGAUCCGACGAUUCCCCGACGCGCAGGCGGGCCGGCACGCGGCGCUAGGCGAAGGAGCCCUCCCAUGGCGGAUGAAUCGACUGUAGUGUGCAGCAUAUCGGACAGCUGUAGUCGUCCAUGAGGCUGCUGGCGGAUGCUGUGUGGAGGAAGGACGGCAAGGCUGGUGGUGCAGUAGUUCACCUCCUCUACGCCCUUUGAAUCUGCAACCCGUUAUUCCUAGCAGGCAUCCAGACGUUAGGAGUGAAGGGCUCCAAGGUGGUGCAAUGGUUUACAAGAAAACAUCCAAAUGGAGAAGAGCAAAAAUCGCUAAGGCUGUGUAUCUUUCUCACCUGCUCUUUUAAACAGAAUAAUUCUUUAUAUUAUUCCCCUUUUUUAUUUGUUAAAGCACAAUUAAUUAUCGGCGAGAAUGUAGGGGCAACAGAACAUUUCAUGUCUGACAUGCUAUUUUGGUUUGAACAUAGCUAUAUUUAUUUAUUUGACUUUCCCUCUCGGUUGCAAAAUCUUGACUUAAUACCGUGUUGCAAUGUUCUUUUAGAAUUUUUAUGCUCAAAGUUCUACUAUUUUCACUUCAAUUGGAGAGUAGCCCCUCUUUCCAUGUCAUACCAAGAGCACGAGUUCAAAUCUGGUGGGGUUCGUGCUAUCACAACGUUUUGAUACUUCACGUGUAGUGCUUUUCCUCCUUGAUUCUGCUAAGCCAUAAUUUUUUCUCCUCUUUCCAUUCUAUGUGAUAAUCCAUAUCACAAGGGGCAAAGCUUAUUACCAACAUGCAAACAAACUAUAAAAUUUGGAAUUCUAAUAUAUGGUGAAUGCAUGCUUCGUAUUUGCAGGUUUAUAGGACAUAAGUAUUUCUUCUGGGUAUUAAUAAUAUUCCUAUAUUCCAAUUUGUAAAAGAUUUCGCAAGUAAGAAAUGUACAUAAAUGUAUAAUGUGAUCAUUAAUAUACCAAGCGUUUGAUCAAAAGAAAAAUUACUAUAUACAUGCCUAUUUAUGAGCAGUACGCAUUACACUAUAAGUUGUAAAAAGGAGGUGAUCAGAUUCAACUCCAUCCUAUAUCACCAUGUGCAAGGUAGUGGUGUCUUGAUGCAUAUGUGUUGAAUCAUCUGUACCGUUGAUUAGUAUUAUGUAUUGUUCUUACAAAAAAACUGCUUUGCGUGAUAUGCACACGAUUCGUGACUUACAUUGAUUCACAUGAUACUUUGGAGUAGCAGAUUUCUAAUACAUAUUUGCAAGUCUAUGCAUGUCUUAUUUUGUCUUUAUAACACAGAAGAAACUAGCUAUUAAAAUAUAUUUAAAUACUUAUAAAUUGCUGCAAUAACAAAAGGAAUCUGGCUGUAUCAUGCACCACAAAGAGCUCAUAUAAAUACAUGAUUGUCAAUGCGAUAUAGAUAUUAGUAUGUAUAGAAAAUAUAAAUUGUUGGUAGAGACAAGAACUUCUAAUCUGAAUAAUCUAUGGUACUUACACUAUAAUGAGUAUACACAAAUCUCUUUUUUUAAAUGUCUAUGGAAACAUACUCUCUUUAUAAUUCUACCAUGCUUCUUUGGCAAAAAGGAAGAUAUAUGCCACAAUAGCGCACUUGAUCGCAGGUGGUCAUCCUCCUACCAACGAAGAGCAUUAAGAGGUCAGCUAACUUCUCUUUCGUUCAGAAGCACACGCUAUUAGAUGAGAUUUUAAUUUCUACUGUAUGCAUUUGUUUUCCCCUAUCUUUCGAAAAAAUAUAAAGACACGCAGAUUGUGUGUUGUUGAAAGAAAAUUACACUUAAUCCAUCUCUGUAUUGUAACAAGAUGUUGUGUUGUACACGUACAAUUCAGGCUGAUGCUAGUAGCUGCUCUUUUCCCUUGCUCUGAUCUUCAUCUCUACCAUGCCGCAAGUAUAGCUUGCUCUGCUUUCCCUCUGUUUGUUGGAUUCCAUCUGGUUUCUGAAAUGUCUGUUACCGUUUUUGUCAGCCAGAGGAGAGUUGGACUAUUCAGUAGCUUGGCAAUGCUAGCAUUCUAUUUUCAGCAUGUUUUAGUAUCUAUG